GCGCCUCUAGCUCAGAUGGUAGAGCAGCAGACUCUUAAUCUGUUUGUCCAGGGUUCGAUUCCCUGGAGGCGCA
rnacentral:tRNA from 1 species